rnacentral:tRNA from 1 species
GCCGGAGUGGUGGAACUGGCAGACACGCAGGAUUUAGGUUCCUGUACCGCGAGGUGUGAGGGUUCGACUCCCUUCUCCGGCACCA